rnacentral:rRNA from 1 species
UACGGAGGGAGCUAGCGUUGUUCGGAAUUACUGGGCGUAAAGCGCACGUAGGCGGCUUUGUAAGUUAGAGGUGAAAGCCCGGGGCUCAACUCCGGAAUAGCCUUUAAGACUGCAUCGCUUGAAUCCGGGAGAGGUGAGUGGAAUUCCGAGUGUAGAGGUGAAAUUCGUAGAUAUUCGGAAGAACACCAGUGGCGAAGGCGGCUCACUGGACCGGUAUUGACGCUGGAGGUGCGAAAGCGUGGGGAGCAAACAGG